GGAUUAGAUACCCUGGUAGUCCACGCUGUAAACGAUGGUUACUAGGUGUUCGGCCUUCGGGUUGAGUGCCCAAGCGAAAGCGAUAAGUAACCCACCUGGGGAGUACGUUCGCAAGAAUGAAACUCAAAGGAAUUGACGGGGGCCCGCACAAGCGGUGGAGCAUGUGGUUUAAUUCGAUGAUACGCGAGGAACCUUACCUGGGCUACAAUGCCUCUGCUAUCCGGUGAAAGCUGGAGUUCCUUCGGGACAGAGUGCAAGGUGCUGCAUGGUUGUCGUCAGCUCGUGCUG
rnacentral:rRNA from 1 species